rnacentral:sRNA from 1 species
ACGGGGAAGGAUGAGAAGCUUCGACUAAGGUUCGACUCGAGCGAAGCGAGAGAACGUUGCCACAGGCAACGGCCCGAAGGGCGAGGCGCUUUAGCGCCGAGUAAUCCUUCCCCCACCAUCA